UACGGAGGGUGCAAGCGUUAUCCGGAUUCACUGGGUUUAAAGGGUGCGUAGGUGGGCAGGUAAGUCAGUGGUGAAAUCUCCGAGCUUAACUCGGAAACUGCCAUUGAUACUAUCUGUCUUGAAUUAUCUGGAGGUGAGCGGAAUAUGUCAUGUAGCGGUGAAAUGCUUAGAUAUGACAUAGAACACCAAUUGCGAAGGCAGCUCACUACACAGCCAUUGACGCUGAGGCACGAAAGCGUGGGGAUCAAACAGG
rnacentral:rRNA from 1 species